rnacentral:siRNA from 1 species
UGACUCUUCCAAGCGCAUUCGU